rnacentral:lncRNA from 1 species
UCGAUUAAGGGAUAAUUACGUCUUUUUUUACCUUUGUGGUAUCGAGGUAAGUUCAUAUGUAAAUGUUGGUAACAUAGUUAUUAUUUUAAAUGUUUUGAUGUUAUUUAAAUGAUAUGAUAAUUAUUAUGAGAUAUUAUACUUGUGAUAAUUGUUUGAUAAUAUGUCAAAUUAUAUGAUAUACUUGGAAAAUGUGAAAUACUACCGAGUAUUGGUAUCGGCAUUCCGUAGAAGAUGGUUGAGACACAUGAUUGGGAAAAAGGUCCCGUUGAACCUUAGGAAUAGAUUAGGAUACAAGUGACAUGUCACUGGAAUAUUUGGGCAUCCGAGCUCGUUGAGUUGAGUCCGAGUUCACUUAUGGAUGCGAAUGUUCGAACUCAUUGAGUUGAGUCCGAGUUCGUGAGAUGUAACUAGGCAUCCAAGCUCGUUGAGUUGAGUCCGAGUUCACUUAUGGAUGCGAACGCCCGAGCUCGUUAAGUUGAGUCCGAGUUCACUUAUGGGCGGGUUACAUGGUAGCUUGGCUACAUAUGUGGCACUUAUGUGCAAACUUUCCAUGUAUCUGAAUUAUAUUCCGAUGUGUUCAAUGGGUAAAAUUCUACUCAAAUGGAGGAAUACUCGAGAUGAAAGGGACGCAUUGAUAAAUGUUGUGAAAUGGAUACUUUGAACAGGUAUGUACUUAACCCUCGGGUUGAAAACUCGACAUAACAACAAAAUGGUAAGAUCGUAAAUGAAAAUGUGAUAUGAAUGUCUCGGUGAUGAUUAUACAAAUGAUGUUGUAUUAAUUUUGUGAACAAUGAUCAUGAAUGAGUAAUUUAGCCUUGACAGAUUUGAGUUACUGCAGUAGUGUAACUUUGAAAAUACACUAAAAAUAGUGCAAAAUGAGUUAGAGGCAGAAUAAAUUAUGGGAUUAAAGCUUAAUGAGUCUAUUUUCACAUAAAAGAAACAGGGGAAGAAAAAGAAUUCCAUAUUGUGUGAUAUUUGAAUUCUUGUGAAACAGGGUCUGAAUGAAUUCGAGAUCCCCUGUUCUGACUUUAGAAAUUCACCAAAAAUUGUACACAAAUUAUUAAGAGUCAUAACUUACAUGAAUGGAUUCCUUAUUGAGUCUAUUUUUAUGGGAAAUAAACAUCAUGGUCGUUGGAAUUCUGUACAGGGAGAAAUUCGGUUCGUAGUGCACAGGGGUUAGAGUGGUCAUACCCUGAAACAGGGGAGACUUUAACUAAUAAACUGUACUAAUUAGCCAAACCAAAAAUUCUAGAAAAAAAUUAGUAAGUAGAAAUAUGAAUCUAGUUUCAAGAGAAAUAGAUGAGAACAUUAUUCGAGUCUUGUACUAUGAGAUAAUUGAACUUUAGUACAGAAGGGUCAGAACUAUCAGACAGUGAAUCAGGGAUAACUUUGAGGAAUAAACUGUACUAUUUGGCUUAACCAAAAAUUCUGGAAAUUUUAUGGAAGAAAAGAAGAUAAGUCUAGUUUCAUGGAAAAUUAACGGAACUUAAUUCGGAGUUUCAUAGCUCCAGAUAUAAAUAAUUUAGUGACUAUUGCUCAGAAAGACAGCUUGUAGUGAACUUGAGAAUAUGUUGGGAACAUUGAUAAAACAAGUUAAUGAGUUGCUUAUUGUUUUCAUAUGAACUUACUAAGCGAAAGUUUACCCCCCCUUCUUUCCCAUGUUUCCUAGGGUUUCCAGGUUAGCUCGGGUUGGAGUUCGUCGGAGAUAUUAUCACACUGUCAAGCUAACGUUAUUGGUGUAGUGAUUUCAAGUACUUUGAGCCUAUGGCAUGUAUAGGAGUUUAAAUAUUAGAGUAUGUGAUAUGGCUUUAGCCAUAUGUGUUGGCCUAUUUUGAUUAUGGGGUUGUAAAUCCAUUUUAAUUAUGCAUG